GACAGAGGGUGCAAACGUUGUUCGGAAUUACUGGGCGUAAAGCGCGUGUAGGCUGCUUCGCAAGUCGGAUGUGAAAGCCCGGGGCUCAACCCCGGAACUGCCUUUAAGACUGCAUCGCUUGAAUCCGGGAGAGGUGAGUGGAAUUCCGAGUGUAGAGGUGAAAUUCGUAGAUAUUCGGAAGAACACCAGUGGCGAAGGCGGCUCACUGGACCGGUAUUGACGCUGAUGUGCGAAAGCGUGGGGAGCAAACAGG
rnacentral:rRNA from 1 species